rnacentral:rRNA from 1 species
GCAGCCUGAUCUAUCCAUGCCGCGUGAGUGAAGAAGGCCUUCGGGUUGUAAAGCUCUUUCGGUGGGGAAGAAAUUGCACGGGCGAAUACCCUGUGUAGAUGACGGUACCUGGAGAAAAAGCACCGGCUAACUACGUGCCAGCAGCCGCGGUAAUACGUAGGGUGCGAGCGUUAAUCGGAAUUACUGGGCGUAAAGCGUGCGCAGGCGGUUGGGUAAGUCAGAUGUGAAAUCCCCGGGCUCAACCUGGGAACUGCAUUUGAGACUGCCCAGCUGGAGUUUGGCAGAGGGA